AGAACAGCUAAUCCUAUAUAUUUUAUUAAAGAGAUCUUAGAAUGGGAAUUGCAUCUGAGUCCGAUAGUCAAAGAUCCCAGAAAGACUAAAGUCAGGGAAGUGGAGAAGAGAAAGAAAGAAGGAAGAGAGAUUUUAUAUGCCAGCAUGCAAGAGGGGAGGCCUCUUACAUACUGAGAAAUUUGUGAUCUGCUUGCUUUUAGGUCCACAAAUAAUAACACGGGGAUUCUUGGCAAAGGACUUUGGGUAUGAAUUACUAUGUGUGUGUUCCUUUAUGGUGACUUUCUCCACAUGCCUUUCAACACCUUCCAUCUGUAGAGAAGCCAACCUGCUCAAGUCAAUACUUGUCAUCCUCGAGAUGAAGCCCACAGGGCUCACCCUCCUUCUAACUCUGCCAGGAGACCAAGUCCUUCCGGCUGUCAAUUAACCACUAUCAACGCCUAGAUCUGUCAGGAAAGUGUUAUCUGGCUGCGGGCAUGACAGAAAGAAAAAGGAAGCAAGAGGAGUCAGCUAGAGAGAAAGAAAGAAAGAUAAGAAGGUGUUGGAUUACUGAAACUUCAUUUCACUUCAAAGAUUUCCACAAGAACAAAACAACAAAACAGAAAUGCACGCACAAAGAUAAUAAAAAUAACCACCAUUAAAAUUAAAAGCA
rnacentral:lncRNA from 1 species